rnacentral:rRNA from 1 species
UACGUAGGCAGCGAGCGUUGUUCGGAGUUACUGGGCGUAAAGGGUGUGUAGGCGGCUGUUUAAGUUUGGUGUGAAAUCUCCCGGCUCAACUGGGAGGGUGCGCCGAAUACUGAAUGACUAGAGUGCGGGAGAGGUGAGUGGAAUUCCUGGUGUAGCGGUGAAAUGCGUAGAUAUCAGGAGGAACACCGGUGGUGUAGACGGCUCACUGGACCGUAACUGACGCUGAGACACGAAAGCGUGGGUAGCAAACAGG